GAUGAAGAACGCAGCGAAAUGCGAUAAGUAAUGUGAAUUGCAGAAUUCAGUGAAUCAUCGAAUCUUUGAACGCACAUUGCGCCCGCUAGUAUUCUGGCGGGCAUGCCUGUCCGAGCGUCAUUUCAACCCUCAAGCCCCCGGGCUUGGUGUUGGGGAUCGGCGAGCCUCCGCGCCCGCCGUCCCCUAAAUCUAGUGGCGGUCUCGCUGUAGCUUCCUCUGCGUAGUAGCACACCUCGCACUGGGAAACAGCGCGGCCACGCCGUUAAACCCCCAACUUCUGAACGUUUGACCUCGGAUCAGGUAGGAAUACCCGCUGAACUUAAGCAUAUCAAUAAGCGGAUGA
rnacentral:misc_RNA from 1 species